UGGGGGAUAUUGCACAAUGGGCGAAAGCCUGAUGCAGCGACGCCGCGUGGGGGAUGAAGGCCUUCGGGUUGUAAACUUCUUUUGCUCUGAACAAGGCAUGCUUUUGGGGUGUGUUGAGUGUAGGGGGUGAUUAGCGCCGGCUAACUACGUGCCAGCAGCCGCGGUAAUACGUAGGGCGCGAGCGUUGUCCGGAAUUAUUGGGCGUAAAGGGCUUGUAGGUGGCUGGUUGCGUCUGUCGUGAAAGCUCAUGGCUUAACUGUGGGUUUGCGGUGGGUACGGGCUGGCUUGAGUGCAGUAGGGGAGGCUGGAAUUCCUGGUGUAGCGGUGGAAUGCGCAGAUAUCAGGAGGAAUACCGGUGGCGAAGGCGGGUCUCUGGGCUGUUACUGACGCUGAGGAGCGAAAGCGUGGGGAGCGAACAGG
rnacentral:rRNA from 1 species